AUGCUCUCGUACAGCCUGGAGGGACGGCUAAGGCCCCGGAGCUACGUUGUGAAGUUUCUUAAGGCAAAUGGAUUGCUAGAUCCUGACCGGGACUUGUAUUCCGCGGUCGCACUGAAUGAGAAGGUAUUCAUGGAGAAGUACGUAUGCCCUCACAAGGAUGCUGCAGCAUGCCUCGCUGGAGACUAUGCUGAUGCUUGCAAAGGGCUACUGCCGACUAAUUUCAGAUUUACAUGA
rnacentral:rRNA from 1 species